rnacentral:rRNA from 1 species
CACGCCCUAAACGAUGAUAACUCGAUGUUGGCGAUACACAGUCAGCGUCUAAGCGAAAGCAUUAAGUUAUCCACCUGGGAAGUACGACCGCAAGGUUGAAACUCAAAGGAAUUGACGGGGGCCCGCACAAGCGGAGGAGCAUGUGGUUUAAUUCGAUGAUACGCGAGGAACCUUACCUGGGCUUGAAAGUUAGUGACAGUCCCUGAAAGGGGAUCUUCCGCAAGGACACGAAACUAGGUGC